ACAAACAUCCCACCCCUUCCAGCCCAGCAUCGUCCUAUGAGGAUCUGCCCAGUUUGUGUGGGGCAGGAGUGGGGUUGGUGGAAAGGGAAUGGGGGAUGUGCUGUGUCUGGGCAGAGAGGGCCAAGUAGAAGGUGGGCCCUGGGCACUUGUUCUUUGCUUGAGCCUGACCUCCCCUCCACCCGUCCAGUGUGCUCUGGCACCUGUCAGCCCACCCAGUUCCGCUGCAGCAAUGGCUGCUGCAUCGACAGUUUCCUGGAGUGUGACGACACCCCCAACUGCCCCGACGCCUCCGACGAGGCUGCCUGUGAAAAAUACACGAGUGGCUUUGACGAGCUCCAGCGCAUCCAUUUCCCCAGUGACAAAGGGCACUGCGUGGACCUGCCAGACACAGGACUCUGCAAGGAGAGCAUCCCGCGCUGGUACUACAACCCCUUCAGCGAACACUGCGCCCGCUUUACCUAUGGUGGUUGUUAUGGCAACAAGAACAACUUUGAGGAAGAGCAGCAGUGCCUCGAGUCUUGUCGCGGCAUCUCCAAGAAGGAUGUGUUUGGCCUGAGGCGGGAAAUCCCCAUUCCCAGCACAGGCUCUGUGGAGAUGGCUGUCGCAGUGUUCCUGGUCAUCUGCAUUGUGGUGGUGGUAGCCAUCCUGGGUUACUGCUUCUUCAAGAACCAGAGAAAGGACUUCCACGGACACCACCACCACCCACCACCCACCCCUGCCAGCUCCACUGUCUCCACUACCGAGGACACGGAGCACCUGGUCUAUAACCACACCACCCGGCCCCUCUGAGCCUGGGUCUCACCGGCUCUCACCUGGCCCUGCUUCCUGCUUGCCAAGGCAGAGGCCUGGGCUGGGAAAAACUUUGGAACCAGACUCUUGCCUGUUUCCCAGGCCCACUGUGCCUCAGAGACCAGGGCUCCAGCCCCUCUUGGAGAAG
rnacentral:sRNA from 1 species